rnacentral:rRNA from 1 species
GUCCUAGCUGUAAACAAUGGAUACUAGAUGUUGAACAGAUCGACCUGUGCAGUAUUAAAGCUAACGCGUUAAGUAUCCCGCCUGGGAAGUAUGCUCGCAAGAGUGAAACUCAAAGGGAAUUGACGGGGGCCCGCACAAGCGGUGGAGCAUGUGGUUUAAUUCGAUGCAACGCGAAGAACCUUACCAGGGUUUGACAUGAUACGAAUUUUUUGAAAGAAAAAAGUGCCGUUUGGAACGUAUACACAGGUGGUGCAUGGCUGUCGU